CCUACGGGAGGCAGCAGUGAGGAAUAUUGGUCAAUGGACGAGAGUCUGAACCAGCCAAGUAGCGUGAAGGAUGACUGCCCUAUGGGUUGUAAACUUCUUUUAUAUGGGAAUAAAACGUUCCACGUGUGGGAUUUUGUAUGUACCAUAUGAAUAAGGAUCGGCUAACUCCGUGCCAGCAGCCGCGGUAAUACGGAGGAUCCGAGCGUUAUCCGGAUUUAUUGGGUUUAAAGGGAGCGUAGGUGGGUUGUUAAGUCAGAUGUGAAAGUUUGCGGCUCAACCGUAAAAUUGCAGUUGAAACUGGCAGUCUUGAGUACAGUAGAGGUGGGCGGAAUUCGUGGUGUAGCGGUGAAAUGCUUAGAUAUCACGAAGAACUCCGAUUGCGAAGGCAGUUCACUGGACUGCAACUGACACUGAGGCUCGAAAGUGUGGGUAUCAAACAGGAUUAGAUACCCUUGUAGUC
rnacentral:rRNA from 1 species